AGGCGACGACGGGUAGCCGGCCUGAGAGGGUGACCGGCCACACUGGGACUGAGACACGGCCCAGACUCCUACGGGAGGCAGCAGUGGGGAAUAUUGCACAAUGGGCGAAAGCCUGAUGCAGCGACGCCGCGUGAGGGAUGACGGCCUUCGGGUUGUAAACCUCUUUCAGCUCUGACGAAGCCUUCGGGUGACGGUAGGAGCAGAAGAAGCACCGGCUAACUACGUGCCAGCAGCCGCGGUAAUACGUAGGGUGCGAGCGUUGUCCGGAAUUAUUGGGCGUAAAGAGCUUGUAGGCGGUUUGUCGCGUCUGCUGUGAAAGCCCGGGGCUUAACCCCGGGUCUGCAGUGGGUACGGGCAGGCUAGAGUGUGGUAGGGGAGACUGGAAUUCCUGGUGUAGCGGUGGAAUGCGCAGAUAUCAGGAGGAACACCGAUGGCGAAGGCAGGUCUCUGGGCCACUACUGACGCUGAGAAGCGAAAGCGUGGGGAGCGAACAGGAUUAGAUACCCUGGUAGUCCACGCCGUAAACGUUGGGCGCUAGGUGUGGGUCCCAUUCCACGGGGUCCGUGCCGCAGCUAACGCAUUAAGCGCCCCGCCUGGGGGAGUACGG
rnacentral:rRNA from 1 species